rnacentral:misc_RNA from 1 species
CACGUAGGAUCCAAGCGUUAUCCGGAUUUACUGGGCGUAAAGCGCAUGUAGGUGGCUUGAAAAGUUGGACGUGAAAGCUCCCGGCUUAACUGGGAGAGGUCGUUCAAAACUGGCAAGCUUGAGGUUGGAAGAGGAGAGCGGAAUUCCCGGUGUAGUGGUGGAAUGCGUAGAUAUCGGGAGGAACACCAGUGGCGAAAGCGGCUCUCUGGUUCAAUACUGACACUGAGAUGCGAAAGCGUGGGGAGCGAACGGG